rnacentral:lncRNA from 1 species
GGUUGGUAGGACUUGGGCAAAGCUACUAUGCCUUCAGACAGCCUGUGGAGAUCAGCUCUGAGAUCUUGGAGUUCACCCGGAUUACAGCCAAAGAGAAGUGAAUGUCCUGCUGAAAUUUGUUUGUCAGGUCAGUUGUAAUCCCGUCUGUAGAACUGAGCUCUUCAGAGUCCUCAACUUGUGUUGUGUCCACUGAGGUAUCCAUCACGAGGACUAAUCAAGUGUUGUGCCAUGUAGCAAGGAGCUGCC